rnacentral:rRNA from 1 species
UACGGGGGGAGCAAGCGUUGUUCGGAUUUACUGGGCGUAAAGGGCGCGUAGGCGGCGCAACAAGUCACUUGUGAAAUCUUCAGGCUUAACCUGAAGCGGCCAAGUGAUACUGUCGUGCUAGAGUGCGGUAGGGGCAACUGGAAUUCUUGGUGUAGCGGUGAAAUGCGUAGAUAUCAAGAGGAACACCUGCGGCGAAGGCGGGUUGCUGGGCCGACACUGACGCUGAGGCGCGAAAGCUAGGGGAGCGAACGGG